rnacentral:rRNA from 1 species
GGACGAACGCUGGCGGCGUGCCUAACACAUGCAAGUCGAGCGGGAACCUCAGGAGGGGUAACCCUUCUGAGGGGAGAGCGGCGAACGGGUGAGUAACACGUGGGUCAACCUGCCCCGGACACCGGGAUAACCCAGGGGAAACCUGAGCUAAUACCGGAUACUGCCGGCGCGAUCGCAUGGUCGUGCCGGGAAAGCUCCGACGGUCCGGGAUGGGCCCGCGGCCUAUCAGCCUUGUUGGUGGGGUAACGGCCCACCAAGGCGACGACGGUAGCUGGUCUGAGAGGACGGCCAGCCACACUGGGACUGAGACACGGCCCAGACUCCUACGGGAGG